AUUGAACGCUGGCGGCAGGCCUAACACAUGCAAGUCGAGCGAGCGGCGGACGGGUGAGUCAUGUCUGGGCAACUGCCUGAUGGAGGGGGCUAACUGCUGGAGACGGUAGCUAAUACCGCAUCCCCUCAGCUGUGGGCCGAUGGGAUUAGCUAGUAGGUGGGGUAAUGGCUCACCUAGGCUACGAUCCCUAGCUGGUCUGAGAGUAUGACCAGCCACACUGGAACUGAGACACGGUCCAGACUCCUACGGGAGGCAGCAGUGGGGAAUAUUGCACAAUGGGCGCAAGCCUGAUGCAGCCAUGCCGCGUGUGUGAAGAAGGCCUUCGGGUUGUAAAGCACUUUCAGCGGGGAGGCGUUACCCGCAGAAGAAGCACCGGCUAACGCCGUGCCAGCAGCCGCGGUAAUAC
rnacentral:rRNA from 1 species